GCGCGCGACUGCGGAGGACAUU
rnacentral:rRNA from 1 species